AAAUUAGAAAAACAUGAG
rnacentral:sRNA from 1 species